UGGGGAAUCUUCGGCAAUGGACGAAAGUCUGACCGAGCAACGCCGCGUGUGUGAAGAAGGUUUUCGGAUCGUAAAACUCUGUUGGUAGAGAAGAACAAGGACGUUAUUAACUGAACGUCCCCUGACGGUACCUAACCAGAAAGCCACGGCUAACUCCGUGCCAGCAGCCGCGGUAAUACGUAGGUGGCAAGCGUUGUCCGGAAUUAUUGGGCGUAAAGCGAGCGCAGGCGGUUUCUUAAGUGUGAUGUGAAAGCCCCCGGCUCAACCGGGGAGGGUCAUUGUAAACUGGGAGACUUGAGUGCAGAAGAGGCGGGUAGAAUUCCAGGCGUAGCGGUGAAAUGCGUAGAUAUAUGGAGGAACACCAGUGGCGAAGGCGGCUCUCUGGACUGUAACUGACGCUGAGGCUCGAAAGCGUGGGGAGCAAACAGG
rnacentral:rRNA from 1 species